rnacentral:rRNA from 1 species
CCUUAAUAGCGGCUGCACCAUUAGGAUGUCCUGAUCCAACAUCGAGGUCGUAAACCCCCUCGUCGAUAGGGACUCUGGGAGAGGAUUGCGCUGUUAUCCCUAGGGUAACUCGGUCCGUUGAUCGGCGUUCGCCGGAUCAUUUUUGGUCAGAAAUUCUGGUACUUAGAGUUGUGGCUCUUGGUUGUGGGGGCAGUGCCCCCAGUCCACAUGGGGGCUUUGUUUUCCCCCGCGGUCGCCCCAACCAAAGACAUAGGGGCUAGGGGUCACUGUGUUUUUACCUGUUAAUUUAAGGUUACUUGACGUGAUCUGCCGGGUGUCUAAAGCUCCAUAGGGUCUUCUCGUCUUAUGUGUUUAUGUCCGCUUCUGCACGGG